rnacentral:rRNA from 1 species
GAUCCUGGCUCAGAAUGAACGUUGGCGGCGUGGAUUAGGCAUGCAAGUCGCGCGAUAAACGUAGCAAUACGUGGAAAGCGGCGUAAGGGAGAGUAAUGCAUGGUUAGCUGCCCUCGGGACUGGGAUAGCGGCGGGAAACUGCCGGUAAUACCAGGUGAUGUCUUCGGACAAAAGGUGAGAUUCCGCCCUGGGAUGGGCCUGCGUCCUAUCAGCUUGUUGGUAAGGUAACGGCUUACCAAGGCUACGACGGGUAGGGGGUGUGAGAGCAUGGCCCCCACCACUGGGACUAAGACACUGCCCAGACACCUACGGGUGGCUGCAGUCGAGAAUCUUCGGCAAUGGGCGCAAGCCUGACCGAGCGACGCCGCGUGCGGGAUGAAGGCCUUCGGGUUGUAAACCGCUGUCGGAGGGGAGUCAGAGGGGAGGAAAGCGCAAGCUUGACCUAGCCUCAGAGGAAGCGCGGGCUAAGUUCGUGCCAGCAGCCGCGGUAAUACGAACUGCGCGAACGUUAUUCGGAAUCACUGGGCUUACAGGGUGCGUAGGCGGCCAACCAGGUCAGGUGUGAAAUUCCACGGCUCAACCGUGGAACUGCGCUUGAAACCGGAUGGCUUGAGUGAGCUAGGGGUGCACGGAACUUCCAGUGGAGCGGUGAAAUGCGUUGAUAUUAUCAGGAACACCUGCGGCGAAGGCGGCUCACUGGAUCUCUUCUGACGCUCAGGCACGAAAGCUAGGGGAGCGAACGGGAUUAGAUACCCCGGUAGGCCUAGCUGUAAACGAUGAGUACUGGGUCGAGGGCUUCCACAGUUUCCCGGUCGUAGCGAAAGUGUUAAGUACUCCGCCUGGGGAGUAUGGUCGCAAGGCUGAAACUCAAAGGAAUUGACGGGGGCUCACACAAGCGGUGGAGGAUGUGGCUUAAUUCGAGGCUACGCGAAGAACCUUAUCCUGGUCUUGACAUGCUUAGGAACUCUUGUGAAAGCAAGAGGUGCCUUUCGGGGAGCCUUUGCACAGGUGCUGCAUGACUGUCGUCAGCUCGUGUCGUGAGAUGUCGGGUUAAGUCCCUUAACGAGCGAAACCCUUGUCACUAGUUGCCAGCGAGUAAUGUCGGGGACUCUAGUGAGACUGCCGGUGUUAAACCGGAGGAAGGGGGGGAUGACGUCAAGUCCUCAUGGCCUUUAUGUCUAGGGCUGCACACGUCCUACAAUGGCACGCACAAAGGGAAGCGAACCCGCGAGGGCAAGCAAAUCCCAAAAAUCGUGCCCCAGUUCGGAUUGCAGGCUGAAACCCGCCUGCAUGAAGCCGGAAUCGCUAGUAAUCGCGGGUCAGCAUACCGCGGUGAAUGUGUUCCUGAUCCUUGUACACACCGCCCGUCAAGCCACGAAAGUGGGGAGCGUCCGAAGUCGCCGUCGUAACCCGCAAGGGGGCAAGGGGCCUAAGGCGAACUCCGCGAUUGGGACUAAGUCGUAACAAGGUAACC